AUUGAACGCUGGCGGCAGGCCUAACACAUGCAAGUCGAGCGGAGCGGCGGACGGGUGAGUAAUGCCUAGGCAUCUGCAUGGUAGUGGGGGAUAACGUCCGGAAACGGGCGCUAAUACCGCAUACUAUCAGAUUAGCCUAGGUCGGAUUCGCUAGUUGGUGGGGUAAAGGCAUACAAGGGUGUGGAUCCGUAACUGGUAUGAGGGGAUGAUCAGUCACACUGGAACGUGGACAGGGCCCAGACUCCUACGGUAGGAGGCAGUGGGGAAUAUUGGACAAUGGGCGAAAGCCGGAUCCAGCCAUGCCGGGUGUGUGAAGAAGGUCUUCGGAUUUUAAAGCACUUUAAGUUGGGAGGCGUUACCAACAGAAUAAGCACCGGCUAACUUCGUGCCAGCAGCCGCGGUAAUUC
rnacentral:rRNA from 1 species